AUUGAACGCUGGCGGCGUGCCUAAUACAUGCAAGUCGAACGAGUGGCGGACGGGUGAGUAACACGUGGGAACCUACCCAUCAGAGGGGGAUAACACUUGGAAACAGGUGCUAAUACCGCAUACUGAUGGAUGGACCCGCGGUGCAUUAGCUAGUAGGUGGGGUAAAGGCUCACCUAGGCGACGAUCUCUAGCUGGGCUGAUAGGAUGAUCAGCCACACUGUGCCUGAGACACGGCCCAGACUCCUCCGGGAGGCAGCAGUGGGGAAUAUUGCACAAUGGGCGCAAGCCUGAUGCAGCCAUGCCGCGUGUAUGAAGAAGGCCUUAGGGUUUUAAAGUACGUUCAGCGGGGAGGCGUUACCCGCAGAAGAAGCACCGGCUAACUCCGUGCCAGCAGCCGCGGUAAUUC
rnacentral:rRNA from 1 species